GACGUAGGGCGCGAGCGUUGUCCGGAUUUAUUGGGCGUAAAGAGCUCGUAGGCGGCUUGUCGCGUCGUCCGUGAAAACCUGCAGCUCAACUGCAGGCUUGCGGUCGAUACGGGCAGGCUAGAGUGCGGAAGGGGCAACUGGAAUUCUCGGUGUAGCGGUGAAAUGCGUAGAUAUCGAGAGGAACACCUGCGGCGAAGGCGGGUUGCUGGGCCGACACUGACGCUGAUGCGCGAAAGCUAGGGGAGCGAACGGG
rnacentral:rRNA from 1 species